UGGCAUUCCUCAUCAAUAGCUCAGUUUCAGAAAGUUAGAAGAACUGAUUGAAAACAGGCUGGGAUCUUUAGGGAUCAUCUAAUCUGAAUUCACCAUUAUAUGAAGAAGGAAAAACAGGAGCUGACGGACCUGGUGGUGUGGGUGACUGGAGCGUCCAGUGGGAUUGGCGAGGAGCUGGCUUACCAGCUGUCUAAACUGGGAGUUUCUCUUGUGUUGUCAGCCAGAAGAAUGCAUGAGCUGGAGAGGGUGAAAAGAAAAUGCCUAGGGUCUCCCUAAAUUGCGAAGGCUGACCUCCAACCUGGAAUCUUCCUGCCUUAGCCUCCGAGUCUCUGGGAAUGUUGGAGCACACAAUUCACCAAGCAAUGGAAAGUACCAUUCACCUGUCAAAGUCCUUCCACAGACAUGGGCAGCAUCAGAGGCAGCAAAUCCAGAAGUGUCAGAAAGCAUGAGCAGACUCCUCCAGAAAGAUGUAAGCAAUUGCUCAGUUGCUCUGUUGAUGGGGUAACCUGCACAUUUUAAAUUUUUAUUGGUGAAGGAGAAAAGAUUGUGGCCUGCUGUCCCAAAGAAUGCUACCUAACACCUGGCUCUUACAAUGUCAGGGGAUCCUUGUACAAUUCUGUAUAAAAGGCAUAUGAAAUAGUAACAACAAGGGACCAAAUGUACAAAUUAUCCAAUUCUUAACUUUAUUGUUAAAGUAUUUAUAACCUUGAUAAAAUUUCUUAGCAGAGACUUCUUUUUCACAAUUUGUAGAAUAGGUUCUUUUUGAGAUUAAUGUUUGCAAACUAAUAAAUCCUUUGGAUGAAAGAUUAGACAAAGAACAAAUAUCAUUUCUCUUGCCUGUUUCAUCAAUCCACAAUGAAGAUGAGAGGAAAAUGUCAAGGUCAAGGCUGUCUAUCUUUCUUGAAAAAAUACCAAAUGAGACAUUAGCAACUGUCUCAGCCAGGUAAAACCACACCGUUCUUCUGCUUCCUAAAAUAACUAGGUUCAUGAAAUGUGUACACAAUUAUUUGUGAUUUUUGGAUUCAUCCCUUCUGUUUUUUGAGUUUCUUGAAAUUCUCUGGCAUGUGUCAAUGUGUAGGAACAGAGACCAGCUGCUUCUCAAAAUACGUAAUAUCACAACAAUGAAAAGACACAAGCGCCAGAGUUGGACGAGAUGAACCUACCUAACCUUCACUCUGCACACAAAUGACCAUGGCAUUUAGAUGUUGAAAGAUUAAAACAUUGACAACUAAGGUUAAUCUUUAUAAUUAGAAAAAUUCCUGUAUAACCAUUAGAAAUUUCUUAACAAAUAUUUUCACAGACAUUUCUAAUAGGAGAAUUGACAAGAAAAAUGGACUGACAGUUUAUGUCAGUGGAUAGAAAAUUCUUUCAUAAAAACUUGAAAGGAGCCAGGCACGGUGGUGCACACCUGUAAUCCCACCAACUCUGGAGGCUGAGGCAGUAGGAUCUCGAAUUCAAAGCCAGCCUCAACAAAAGCAAG